ensembl:lncRNA
CAAAGACCCAAUCUGCAGAGAGCGCGAGAGAGAGAGAGAGAAAGAGAGAAACAGACUCCUCUCUGAGCGCCUCACUGGCUUCAGAUCAGCUGAUAAGGUAAGAGCUCUGCUGCUCUCUCAUCAUUAAAUCGUUCAUUAUAUUAUUUUAAAUGCAUAAAUCUUCAACAUGUUGCAUUUUGUUUGAACUCUAAGCCAAAAGUCUUUUAUCUGUCUUUUCUCUUCUGCGUUAUAUUAAUUCACUAAAGGGGCAGAUAUGUCACAGCUGUGUGGUGCACAUGUGGGGUUAAAUUCCUAGCUCCUUCACAUCAUUUUAUUUUUGUACAAUAUCUACAUCGUUCAGCUCAAAAGUAUACAGAGGAAAUAAGACGUUCAUCUGACGCUACUUCAUACUAUGAACUAAAUGAAUAACAUGACAAAUGAUCACCUGAUUAUCCUGUUUCAUAUCGUAUGUCUCCACAGCUUGUGUAAUAGUGUAACCAAUGUCAAUCUGCUGGCUUCAGAUGUUUGUGUGUCAUUGUAGUUAAAACGGAGAACUUUAAGACUCACGGUGACACAUUUGGAGACGAGUGCUGCAAAAAUGACUCAGAACAAUCUCUAUAAUAUAAUGAAGUAAAAGGAAUCGGGUUUGAGUAUCAACCACCCCGCGACUCCCAAAUGGCAGUUGGCGCGCAAAAUGGGAACAAGUAGGACACGUUUGGGAUUAGUUGCACCUUUGGGAGUAAAACAGCAGCGUGGUGACGAUAUCAAAUCUGUGGUCAAUAAUCCCUCGUUGUUGUUGUACACAGUAGCCACUAAUCUAAAAAGCCAAUACAAUUAAUUUAAUUCUGGUAAGUAAAGACAUGUCAAGUUUAAUGUUGUCCGUUGAAAUGCCCACAGUUAAAUGUUAAUAUUGAGUGUGGAAUUUAAAUUUUGGACCUUUAUGUUCUAUUGAAAACCCAAAUUGUCUUCCAAACCAGAGCAAUGUUCAAGCCUGCUGCUCGUCAUUUGUUGUCCAUCUAUUUCUCCAUGGAAACCUCAACUCGAGUGUUUGCUUGGUGCAGAAAUGCUCGUCCAGUGGAGCCGUAGAAGUACAGAAUGCAUCAUUUCCAAAGGCAGGUCUCCAGUGCUGCCCAGUGGAGUGGACAGGGGGACAAUGGACCCAUUAUCAGUGCGUUGUUCUGUCACCAGUCUCUGUCCAGCACAAUCCCAGCAGCAACCCCCCUUCCACUUGCCUCCAUGUCUACAUAGUACCGUGAAAGCAUGUGUAUGUUUACACCAUGCAGAUCCUACCGUGUGUUUUACGCUACACACACACACACACACACACACACACACACACACACACACACACACACACACACACACACACACACACACACACACACACACACACCAUCAAUGUCAUCUGGAAAAAAACAAUGCAUUUCUCAACAAUGCAUUUUGGAGGUAUUUAUUUAGGGUUUUAAAAGGAGAGCACACCCACUCUGCUGCCCGGUUAGCCACAAGCUUUGGAGCGUUUACUGGUUGUCUCCCACAUCACUAUUGCUGUUACUAGUGAUAGUGACUAUCUUCUAAACCGGAUCCAUUUGGUGUCGCCUCGUGCGAGGAAACGUUAGCAACAGCUAGCAAUGGCUAAACACGUUCUCUCUUCCUAAUGAUGUUCUGUGAUCGUCUUGACGGUAUUCAAAAUAUAUACAUUUCAAUCUAAAGUUUUUUUUCUUUUUUGCAUGUUUGAAUGUAAAAGUAAGAAGCUUCGAAUGCUAACCUCCUAGAAUAAUGUUUUAAUUGGAAUCCAGCUGGACCGGUGUUUGAGAUGCUUCGGCACCAGGGCCGAUUGCGGUGCCCCUUUGAAUGAACACCACCUGCUUUAUGCAGAGAUCUGCUUCUGAGUCACAUGACCUGGCGUCACCUAUCGGAUGACUCAACUUGUCAAAACUAAAAGAGGUUUGCAUCUCCCCUUUAACUUUCAAACCCAACUGUCGUGACCUUACUUUUCAGGAUCCAAUCAAGUUGCACCAGAUAGAAGUUUGAUUAUAUAAUUACAACAAUUAAACGAUUAAAUAUGUUGAUAAUACAAUUAGUAUUAUCAACAUAUUUAAUCAGGCUUGAUCACUGAGUUCAUUAAUGUUUGAGAUAUCGACGCAUAUUGUUUUUAAAGGAUUUAUUAGUUUACUAGUUAAAAAGCGUUAGAUAAAUAGAUAAAGCACUUAUCAAUACAAAGUGUUUCAAAUAACUCAAAUUAAAAAUAUGAAACGUUGAGUGAACAAAAAAAACAAACAGGACAUGGAAUAAGACUUUCUGAUAUAAACUUGUUUUUCGAAAAGAGCUAAGAACUUGUCUGGCCUUGUUUCCUCUGGCAGAGGACUCGGGGAGAGACAGAAGACCACUGCCUGUGAGAAGAUCUCACAUUACCUUGGAUCCAUAAAGAAAAAGGUCUAAAACAAGCUAAGAACUUGUCUGGCCUUGUUUCCUCUGGCAGAGGACUCGGGGAGAGACAGAAGACCACUGCCUGUGAGAAGAUCUCACAUUACCUUGGAUCCAUAAAGAAAAAGGUCUAAAACAAAUAAAGGAUAUCUCAUAAAAUCCACAGUGAAACAAGCAGGAGGACCAUGUGAAGAAGGUAUUAUCGUGCAACCCUUUCCCAGAUCAGGACCCGUAUGGGACCCAUCGUCCCUCCAUGAAGCCACAAGAGCUCCAAACCGCAACAGAAAGGUCCAAUAAGAGGCCGGAGAAAAGGGGAUUGUUUUGAUUAAAAGACAAUUAUCUGUGCGCAUGGACUUCCCAGUGUUGUGCGGUGUCAGGCUCCAGCUGAGCUGCUCCGUCCCAGAAGGCCUCGGGAGACAAUGGCCACUGUGUCCACAGGGUGGGGGGGUUGUUUCAUGACUCGGUCACAGCACCAUGCAACUGUGUGAAUACUGUUAAUGCCACGUAUGGGCUUAGUAGUGGGACGGUUACCCCGAAGUUGAUGUUCAAUCACCUGAAAACGACUAAACAACAAUGGGGUGAAGGCGUAAAUCGGCCUUUAAAUUAGUCUCCAGGUGGAACUCAUCAAGUUCAAAUAAUUCGCUGGGCUUUAUCCUGGAGCCCAGCAAAUGUAGUUAUUAGUUAGUAUUAGUCGAGACCGGGACGUGAACAGUAAUGCAGCGCAGUUAUUGUAAUUAUGUGUUUUCAACCAUUCAGUUCGUCAUGUAACUUUUAUGAAGCAUUUCGGGGUAGAGAGCUGAAAUGCUAUAAAGGUGCCUGCAACUGGCCUAUAUUGUGAGAUAUCAGUAGGCGUACAUCAAAGAAUUAUUUUAGUGAUCAGAAAACAGACAUUUUGACAAAAUGCUAGCUGCGCGAGCUAACAACGUUAUGAUGUAUUAUAACAAUGUAAUAGUGAGUGCCGGCUCUCCUCUUUUUCCUGCUGAUGCCUCACGUUUUAUUGCCUGUUUCCUCUGAUUAGGAGCUUAUUGAAACAUGGUUAUAGAUUCUUCACGGCAUCCCGUCCCUCGGCAGCUUUUAGCUAGCAGAAUGGCUAGCAGCCAUUGGUCGACUAUCGUUUUUUACAUCAUGUUAGUUAUUUUUCUUGUCAAACUUAUUAAUGCUAUGUAAUGCGUUUUGGAUUUUUAAAUCAAGCUACAGUAGUAAUUGCAGUUUGAGGUUUUAAAAAUCAAAACAAAUUAACUUUCUGUGAGUUGAUUUUUUCCUUUGAGUGAAAUCGUUGGAAACCUUUUGCUGCCCAGAAGGUGGGAAGGCACUCGAUUUAUCUUGAACCGUUACGUCGCGCUCAAUGUGAUGGUUCUUCAGAUUCUCUCGACUCUUAAGUUUCUUUAGGAGUAACAGAUUAGACUCAAAGGCGUCCUCAAUGCUUCCCCUCAUAAUGGCGCCCGUCAUCAGCCUCUCUAAAACUCACUUCCUGUCUUUUGUUACAAAAACCUCGAAACAAAAAAGUGUCCAUAUGUCUGAAAUGACCAAAUAUGCUCAGUUCCAUCCAGCGUCCAGCGACUGUCCGUGUGGGAUAGAAAGGCCUCAGAGCUCAAAGCCUCUCCCUUAUCUGCUGGGGCGGGCGUAACAGUGUGGCCCUUUGUGGCCCCCCCGUGUAUUUAUGAAUGGCCGAGCCUUAGGGCGAAGCCUCAGAACAAUGCCGCUACACUGAAGGACUGGUUUUCCUACGGGGGGGUGGUGAUGAUGGUGAUGGUGAUGAUGAUGAUGAUGGAGGAGGAGGUGUUGGUGGCGGGUUGACUCCCCACCGUUGGGGCUUGGUACAGAGAGUGGCGAGAGGUCUGGCUGGCGAGGGGGCUUUGCGCGUGAGACUCAGAGGGAAGGCUGCUGGAGCUACUGGAGGUCGUAGGUCGCCCACGCUCACCUACACAGAGAGGAGGCCUGUGGCUCACCAUCUGCCCGCCGGGGCCGGGAAUGCCAGGUGAAAAAAGGCAUUCUGAUACGAGCGGCCAAACCAACAGAGAAUUAAAGGGAAAGCAAACAAAUAAAUGUAGACUCAGAGCCACAUGCACGGGCCAAUAAAUACCAAGAAAGGUAAUCUUCCAGGUGGUUUAUGACACCUGCUCCCUCGUUUCAAUAAGUUAACAACCACCUACUUUGUGGGCAUAGAAAAUAUAAAUACUUAACGCAUCGAGCACUUCAAAGCAUCUACUGUAAGAGGCAACGGUUUUAUUGCAUCUGAUGAGCUGAAGUGUGGAUCUUUUCCUCCUGCCGGCGCCCUGCGCGGUGCCUUCGGCAACAGACCGUGUGACUGAACGUUGGCACGUCUCCGUGGUUGUGUUUGAAGCGAGUGUGCGCUGUUCUCAGGGCGGUGUGUGUGGGAGGGGGAGCGGUCAUGUUUUAAGACCAUCUGCUCCUCUGAGUAUUUUAGUGUGUGUGUGUGGGGGGGGGGCCUUAGCUUGCGUUGGACCAACGCGCGUCACGGGCAAACAGCAGAACGCAAGCUGUGAGCGGGCCUGUUCCGGAGAAAAAAAUUCCUCCACUUUCACACAAUGGGCAGUGUUCUGCAUACAAGGUUCCCAUUCUCCCCCACCACACCCGCCCCGUGUCCAAGAGCCCGAGCAAAACUCCUGUACACGGGCCACGGACGACAUUCACAAUGAAAAUGUUCUUCUUGGCACAGGCGAUUGUUUGUGCGAGCCCUUUGGUUGGCGUGAGACAUCUCAAUAAUGGAAGAUGACUCAUAAAAGGUGUCGUGGCCUGAUUGAGCGGAGCCGAUUUUUCUCCCCGCAUCGCGUUGCUCUUUAGACAUUGGAAAAAGGCAGAAAAUGUUGACCACAUGGCUUCUUUCUCAUUGACGGAGACAAACGUGACAUAAGUGUGUUCGUCUGGACCCUCACUCGGCCGCACGCUUCAUGUGCACACAAUGCCUACGGUCCCAGAAGGACAAUAGAGCAGGCUGAGCUUCCACUCAGCGGAGGAAGGUCACAUAUCUGCACACCCCACGCUGCGUAGUGUGUUUGCUCGCCUCGCGCUGCGUGUGUGUGUGUGUCUGUGUGUGUGUGCGUGGGCGGUGUGGCACGCUGCGUAUUCGUUUGAUCGAGGCUCCCGAGCGUCGCGGCAGCGCUCUCCCCGUCAGCUCUUGUUGACGGCGGGAUUCCCUCGAGGUCAUCGGCCGCUCGGGCCAUGCCGUCAUCUGGCCGCAGGCCUGGAGGGCUUUGGGCCGCAGUGACUCACCCUAACAUGAGAGUGGCAAAGAAAAGUUGCCUUUGUCACUUUUGUCAUGUAAACUAGGUGGACAUCGGAGUGAAUCCACGCUUGUGCGUCCCUGCCCACAGAAAUUCCUCCGCAGGGGAAAUAUUAAUACGGCUUGAAAGAUCAAUGAUGCCCUGAAGCUUUCUCUAGAAUUCAAAUGGUCUUGCGUUGGAUGUGUGUGAUUGAGGCUCUUUAAGACGCUGAUGUCUGACAAACCCUAAUCAAAGUAGUGUAGAUCUGUAAUCCACAUAACCACGUUGCAGCAUUUCAACAACAUUGACAUUAGACAUCAAAGCGUUGAUCUCAGAGGGACGGAUGAGGGAGACGGUGGAACCAAGGCGAGGAAUGCAGAGUGGGCCAAAGUUCGGCUCCAGAAAUGCCCGAACGCAUAUUCAUAGCCGCCCACGACAACCCCCCCCCCCCCCACCCCCUCUUUCCCCAUCUGACGUGGAGGAUUCGGAGCAAAGACGAGCGACUCAGGAGAACAGACACAGCGGGGCGGAUGGGGGGGGGCAAGAAGUUGAGCAGGAGCCUUGUGCUGAGGCGAGUGGUUUGUGUGCGCACGUAUGCUGUGUGCUCAGUGCCAGCCGUUUGCCCAUCCCAUCAAUGAGGCCGUUGUUGUUGUGGUUGGGGGGGAGCGGCGGCCUGGCGGCUCGGCCACUCCGCUUCCGGUGACACUCGCCUGUCUCUUGGCCUUUUGUUGCCGUGCGGGUGGUGGAGCCACAUUGGAGUUACGGCGGAACAGUUGCGUCACUCUAGUGAGACGUCUCAAAGUGGUGAUGAUCAAUUAUUUAUUUCACGUGGUAAGAUUUGAACGUAGAGAGUCAGUCAUCUGCUUAAUAAAGCCAUCAGUAGAUGGUGGAGACCAAAACAGAGCUAAAAUAAGGGGUCAAAAAGCUUACAAAUGGAUUAUGUUACUUUGGAAAUUCUGCUAACGAUUUCACUGCAUCAACUUAGAAAUUAAUGCUAAAUAUUCUUCUUAAAAACUAAAAGAAGAGUGGCAAUUUUCCAAGGAAAAUUCCAGUGAAAACAUUCUGUGCAUUUGUGACUGGAUGGUGGACGGUGAGCAGCAGGACAAAUCCAACAUAAAAUAACAGCGUUUUUCACUCCCCUCCAACCGACGAGGCUAAUAUUGGCUCUGGAUUCUCCGGGGGAAGUUGGGGUGUGUUAAUCGAGAAGCUCUCGUACACAAUCCACUUCGACCCGCCAUCUGCACACCCCGGCUGCCGCAGCAAGAGGCGGAAUUAUCGGCUUCUACUUCUGCAUCUAGUUGUUCCACACUCAACAGUCCUCCUGGUAAAUACAUUUAUUGACAGAGCAUUUAAAGAAUCAUUUCUGUUGGAGAGAGUGAUGACGUGAAUAGAGUAUUUUCAUCAAGUGAGAAUACUCAUGAGUCAGAGGGACCACAUUGUUUAUUUUAUAAUAGGUAGUUUAAACGUGGCAUCAUGUUGGUUUUCCAUUUGAUUGGAACUCAAUAAGCAUUGAUAUGUUUUAGGGCUCAUUGGGUUCAAUAAUUCGUCCUUGAAUCCCACCGUUCGCUAUGUGAUCAAAGUCAUUGUACUGUAAUAAAGUACAUGUUGUUAGUGUUUGUGGUCUUCAUGUUCUUAAAUUAGCCAAUCAAGAUAGAAAUUAGACACAGAAGUAAAAAGAAACCAAAAAGAAACAAGGGCAAAAAAGCUGAACCCAGAACUAUUAUGUGCAUACAAGUGGUAAAGUGCAUAAACAAAUGAAUAUAAAAAGUCUAGAAGUAAAGAACGUCCUCUUUACUGGCCUGAACCAACUAUCUGUUGCUGGAAUCCAGGCAGUACAGAACUCCGCUGCCACUGAUACCCGGCAUGUUUCAGAAUAGAUUAACAUACAUUUUAAAUUUCUCCCCAAGCCAUUAAAAAACCUCUGCAUGCUGCACAUACUUUGAAAUCCGCUAGAGGAGAUCUUUUGUCGGGUCCAGAGGCCCGAGAGCAACUACAGGGCCGUGGAGCUCUGGAGUUCGGGUGGACAGUCUCUCUUAAAUAUUAUUUUCCAUUCGUGCUUAUGUACUACGCUGUGCCUUUAAGUUCCAAUAUCUUCUCUUCUAUCUCAUGUUUCUCCUCAUGUAAUAUGGAAAAAAUAUUCAUUGAUUGUCUGUUUGCUAAGCUGAUGAUUUAUGAAUGUGUUAUUUUGCUGCCUUUUGUGAAGCACUUACAAAUCUUAAAAAGUGCUCUAUAAAUAAAGUUCAUUAUUAUUAUUAUCAUAAUUUUCCCUAAAUGAUUUAUGUGCUUCUGCCGGGGAAAAUUUUAGAUAAAUACAGUGCAAAAAAAAAUGUCACCCCCUCGACACCCCCGUAGUCAGUCCUGGUGAUCCAUGACAGCUGGGUUGGCACAGUGUGUGUCAUUCAUCGGGCUGACGUGUGCCGGCCGGGAGGAGUGACUCCAUCGAGGGGGGGCGAGGCAGGUGUCACUUACCACAGCUCCG